CCUCUGUGGCUCCCUCUGAGCCCACUGUGGGAUGCACCUCGCUCCUGAGAAGGCGCUGAGCUGAGAGGAAGCCGCUGUGCUUUCUGAGGCUCAUCUUUAGGAAACAUUUCUUGUCAGUUAGUCUUGCCAGAAUUCAAGAAGGUUAAGGGAGAAUAAAGGAUGGUCCAAAAAAGAACAAGGAAAAUGAAAAUUUGAAAAAGGGAGCCAUUCCUGAGAGGUUAUUUCACCUGCAGCAGAGUGACCGAGGAAGGAGUGCCUAGCUACCUUUAUGCCUGUGGAGGGAAGAGGUGCCUGGGCUGAUUUUUUUCCACCUUGGCAGAAGUGACUGGAGGCGGAGGAACAGGGAUCUUCAAUACGUACUCCCAUUCUGGGGCUGCUUCUGCUCUAAAAACAGAGCCAAGCAGUUCAGGAAAUCUGCCGAGAAGGCCACCAAGCAAAAUCCUAAGAGCAGCUGGUCUGGAGCCAGGCAGGUUGUGCUACAGUUGCAUGUCACUGUUGACUUCAGAAGAUGCUGCUGCUCUAGGAAGCAUAGAAGAGGUGAAUGCUGAGGGGAGAGAUGUCAAAGCAUGGGGAGAAAUGGAAAUCAGGAGACCAACUUACAAGCAAUUGACACUGGUCAAGUGAGAAGUUAGCGACAUGAAGUCGGCGGUGGCAGUAGCAAUGGAAAAGAGGAAGCAGGAUGAAAAACAAUGAGGAGAUGGACUCUUAAGGGCUUGCUAGGUGGAUGUGGGAGCCAAACGAAAAGUGAGGAACAAUCACAAUUUCCUGAUUUGGAGUGCUGGCAAAGAAAAAUGAUGGUUCUAUUAACAGAGUUAGAGGAAUCAGCAAGAUGACAGUUUGCUUGGAAUUCAGUGAAUCUAAGGCACAUACAAGUCCUCAUUUGAGGAGAAAAAAGGAGGAAGAGGUAUUGUGUUCGUUAGAUGCUGGGACAUGUAAGGCUAAGAUACAAGAGAUAGUCUUCCUUCAUGGCUUUGCUCAGGUUUCUGAAAUCAUAAAGAUUACAGGGCCCUGGGAAGUGAUAAAUGCUAUUGGAGAAUAUGUUUUGGACUAGCAGUCACAGAAUUAGAGACCAGUUCUUGCCUUUGGAAAGGAUGUUUCAGGCUAGAGGGGAUGGUGUGGAUUAGUGUUCUUUCCAGUAGAAGCUCCACCUGUCAUCUGUCCAUCCAUUCAGCCAUCCAUCCAUCCCACUAUCCGUUACUUCUUGAGCAUCUCCUAUUUUUUAACUCUGCACUUCUAAAGAGUCAAAGAACAAAGAUCAGCUUCAUCCCUGGAUUAGCAGAAUACAGCCAGUAAAUCACUAAAUCUCCACAUAGAAUAUUUGGCAUUAACUCCUCAGUCCCUUCCCUUGUGUAACUGGUCAGAGGUGCUGAGGGGUCUUCUUGCAGACCAAUGAUUGGUUAACACGUUCUUUUCAGCUAAAUGACAAACAGUUUAAUUCCAAUAGAAUGCCUAAAAGUCCUUCUCAGAACUGACAUUGGGAUUAUCUACAUUUUAUAUUAUUCAUUGCAAAUUUAAAUUUCUUAUCAGUUUCUGGAAUGCUCGAGCCCUCUCAACAUCUGUUCUUCACAGUGUCCACAUUUUAUGCUCAGAGAAUGCAAAUUACCUUUAAUAUUAGCUUUGCCUACAAAUAAAGACGGAUCUGCUUUCAGAGUACCUCCAGUGCACUGCGACGUGUUCACCAUCUUCUCUGACCUGUCCCUGCCCUUUAAUAAGAAUUCUCGAGUUGAUUGAGCUUUCAUACUUUGGACAGUAUCAGCCUGGUGAGACGGCUUGGUGGAUUUCCCAGCUUGCACCUCUCCAAAGAGAAGAUGUCAUUUGCUAUCUCAGUCUCCAGAUGUCCAAAACUUACUUUUGUUGGUCACUAAGAGCAAAAUUGUCAAACAGGUGACAGUUUUGCUGGUGGGGUCAAUCUCCAUUUAAAUCCCAUGGCUACUGCACAGUGGAGGAAAGAAGAAUUAUUGGGGAUUCAGCUGUAAUUUCUACUACAGUAAGACUUUAAACAUUUUCAGUAUUCAAUCAAUCAGCAUGUUUUGAGUGCCUUCUACAAGCAAUGAACCCUACUAGAUUUUGGCAAUCGACUAUAAAAUUCCUGGUCUUGACCUUUACGACUACUGUGAUGACAAAGCAAUGAUUGAAAGCUUAGAGCAACGGGCUGAUUCUGUCCUUCAGAGGUGAGUGUGGAGGGAGCUCGUUAGAAGAAUUAUAGUAGGUACCUAGAAUUUGAACAAUUCAAAUGAAGAAGUUUCAAAGCACCUAAGCAGGAACCUCUUAUUUGCAUUAAAAAAGGUAGGAGUAACUGAGAAGUUUCUUUCCUCCCCCCUCCCAUGUCUAUGUUUGAUGACAGUUGUUUGGAGGAAAUCAUGUCCACUAGACCCAGUGAGCUGUGGUACAACUCCAGUUAAUAUUUGACUAUUGGCUUCCUGUUACACAGAAAACUAAUAGUGAAGAAUAAACCACAAUGUAAGUUAAGUCUCUUCUCCUUUUCUCCCUCCCUUUUGGUGUCUCCACCCCUUUAAAGAGAUGCCUUUCUGUUUAGAGGAUGUGUUCUCUGUUCAUCCCAACUGGAGAAAGUGGGGAGAAUCCUUUGAUGAUAUUUGAACUCUCUUGUCUACUUUCCAAAGUGGUUGAAGGAAGUUCCAGUGACCAAGUCUUCCAAAGAUUCUGCCUCAUUUCAUGGCUUCUUGAGCAGAUAUCCGGCUGCCCGUCUUAGAGGUGAUCCACAUUUGUAGGUGAAGUAGAAGAGAGAAGAUGAAAAGAAAAUUGAAAAGAAAAUAGAGCUUUGGUGUGUGGUGUCAACAUGUGUCAAAAUGACAUAACUCCCCACGGAGAGAAAAGAAACUUCUAGUCCCAAGGACAAAACCCACCUGUUUUACUUAAUCCUCAAUUCCCCGUCUCACCACGUUCCCCCUCCAACCCUUGACAGAUUGAAGGAUCUUGUUGGCUCCGAUUGAUUCCCUGAACACCUGUGUCCACCAGACUGUCCUUUAUGGAUAUUUCCUGAUCUCUUGGCUUCGGCUGGCUUGUGUCUCCAUGGUAACAGGGAGUGGGGAGGGGGACGUGGGGGCAGCUCAGUCCAUUUGUCAUCAAUUGCCACUGUUUUGUUCUGCUUGGUGUGUGCUCUCAAUUGAGUCCUGGAGGAGGCAAAGCAGAACAGAGAGAUUCGGCUGAAGGACUGCUCCCGCCCUCUGAAACCGGGGGUGGGGGGAUGUAGCCGAGGGGACUGUCUUCAGAGAGGGAGAGAGCCCGGGUAUAGAGAUUAUAACCAAAUGCCAACCUUCUCUGGGAGAAUAAUUUUUCUGUGACUCAGAUUUUAUGUUUUAGGAGGGAGGAUGGCAUUCGUGUCCAUCCAAAGACCUUUAUUAUUUUGUUAAAGUAAGAGGAAGGAAAUUUUGCAACCUCCCCAUAAUAUAGAAUAAGAUGUCGUCUUUCUUAUUCUGGGUUGGAAUUUUUACUUAAAAAAAAAGUGAUUGGACUCCCACCGUGUCACUGCCUUAAACAGACCACGAGUUGUGCAUCUUGUUUCAUUUUGUGCCUUCUCUGUGUGCUGUGCAUUCAUUUAGAUGAUUCACAAAAGCCUGUCCCCUGUGCCUCCCCCGAUCAGGAUUAAAGAGCUCAAGCCCUGCCAGUUGGGUGGAAGCAUUGCUGGUUGGACCCAGCCUAUGAAUGCCCUUCUUCCCACUGAUCUGGGCCCGAGGAACUCUUUGUUUUGUUCCACUCCGAUCUUUGCCCUUAGCAGAGGCUCAGACCCAGUUCCUCCCAGACUCGUGAUGACUUGGAUGAUGUCCUCUCUCUCAUUCCAUGAGGAACUCACCAGUGUGAUCAAAUUCAAUGGCCCCUUCUCCAUCUGUUUACUAUUUGGCCUCUCUGCAUCAUUUACAACAUGUUAUCACUCCUCCUCUGCAACUUCUCUUCUUGGGCUCCCGUCACACAGAAUGCUCUGUGUUCUUUCUUCCUCUCUCUUGGUGCUUCUUGAUCAUCCUUCUUGGGUCUUUUGUUUCCUUCCACAAUUUCAAAGUUGGUAUUGUCCAAGGCUCUGUUCUUGGCCUGCUUUUCAUACUCCUCCUCACUCCUUGCAAUGUCAUCCACACCUAUAGCCUUAACCAUGAACUCUGAGGCUGACUCUCAAACCUGCCUCUAAACCAGGUCGCGCUUCUGAGCAACUCUGCAUGGAAAUGUACAAACUAUUCAAAACGAAUUUGACUUUCUCUUCAACUUGCCCUCCAUUUUCUCUGGUAUUGUUAGCAUCUGCGUUCUCCCAGUUGCUCAGACUUAAAAGCUUUGUAUCAUCUUUGAUUAUGCCUACAUAUGCCACAACUCUCAUCAGUCUUAUUUUCCUCCUCUGCCACUUUCUCCUCCUCCUUCUUCUCUGCGUGCCCCCCCCCCCCCCCCCCCCCCCCCCCCCCCCCCCCCCCCCCCCCCCCUCCCUCUCCCAUUGACGCAGCCCAUUUCAGUAUCCCAUUUCACUUAUGCUGUUCUACUUUCUUUCCCUUACAAUUUGUCCUUCCUGCUGCUUUUGCCAGUUCUGGCCCAGUCAGUCUCUGCUCAAAACCUUAGUACCUCUCUAACCCCUAGAAAUCAAAGACCGAUCGUUACUUAAUUUCACAUGAGCUCCCCUUGGACAUGGCUUGCAUGCCGGCUUUCCAGGCAUAUUCUCCUCCUAGCAUGUUCCUUGACUAAGCCUUCUGACUCCUGAACACUGCUGUUGGGACUGUAAAAAGGCACGCUGUUUGGCAAAAUACAUUGAAAACCUCGAAGGUGUGGCUUGAUCAAGUUAUUCUACUUCCAGGAAUUUAUCCUAAGGAAAUAAUCAGACAGCUGCACAAAGACACGUGCAUAAGAAGUGUCAUUACCGCAUAAUUUGCAAUUAUAAAAAAAUGAAAACAGUAUCAGCGUCCAAUAAUAUCAGUACAAUGGCAUAGUAGGCAAUCAUUAAAAAAAUAAUAUAGACUAAUUUACUGACAUGGAAAGAUAUUCCAGCAUUUCUCUAUGUAUCUAAGUAAAAAAGUUAUGGAGUGAAGUUAAUUAUAUAAUUAAUAUAAUUGAUAUAUAUUAAUAUGUGGUCUUUAUAUAUAAUAUAUAUGCAAGAAGGAAUAGGACAACUCUCAAAGGAUGUACAUGUACAUACUAUGUAUGUGCAUACACACAGUGACUGGAAUUAUAGUUAAUGGUUUAUUUCUUUCAUUUUUCUUAUCAGUAUUUAAAAAAUUUUCUACAACGAGCAUGGAUUAACUCCAUAAAGUAAUAAUAGUUAAAGUUACAAUGUGCUGAGGUAAAGCAAUUUCUUAAAAAAUUCUUAAAAGAAAAAUGUCCUCCACCCUUUCGUUGCCUUGCCUUUGUUAAUCUUAUCAUUGUGCCUAUAAGUUUUCAUCUCCUCAUGUUGCAGUAAAGUAUUAUCCAUUUCCAAAACAAUUGAACUCCCCCUGCAAGGGAGGAACAAAGGAUCUGAGGUCAGAGGUCUAAGGUUUACGUCCUCAUUCUGCACUCUACUAAGCCAAGUUUCUUCCUCUGUGAAGGAGAAAAAGGUCAUAAUAUCUAAUUCACAGACGUGGCAUGAGGAUCAGACAAUGUAUAGGAAAAGCAUUUAGAGAAUCGCACAGCAUCCCACAGCGGUCAGGGAGUGUGAUUUCUUAUUACCAAAACCAUGCGGUCUGACUACGUGGACUAGAUUGCCGCAUGAGGAUUGGAGCCUUUUCAGCCUCAGCCUCGAGCCCAGUGUGGACACAACCCAGCUGCACACCAGCUUGCGCCCUGGGCCGGGCAAUCGGCCAUGCGGGUGAAGGGGGGUGUGAGGCCUCCCCACACCCCCAGCACUUCCCUUCCCUUCCAGCGUUUCCAAAGCAAGACUUAACUCUAGGAGUCUUGGAGAAAACACUGUGUCCGGGGCCAAUCUGUCUGGUACCCACAUGGGGACUUCAGAGCCACCUUGCUGUCUCCCUGACCUCUUCCAGUCCCCUGCUCCGGAUCUGAGGAGUUGACCGGUCCCCAGGACCUGGGGGCAUUCCGUGCUGUUGGCUGUGUAGACGAC
ensembl:lncRNA